CUUUGCUGAUGAGACUCCACUUCAUUGGUCCGUGUUUUUGAAACCCGUGAUAACGGUGGAAGUUCUGAUGAG
ensembl:snoRNA SNORD18 Small nucleolar RNA SNORD18